rnacentral:rRNA from 1 species
AGUGAACGCUGGCGGUAGGCCUAACACAUGCAAGUCGAACGGCAGCACAGUAAUAGCUUGCUCUUACGGGUGGCGAGUGGCGGGCGGGUGAGGAAUACAUCGGAAUCUACUUUUUCGUGGGGGAUAACGUAGGGAAACUUACGCUAAUACCGCAUACGACCUACGGGUGAAAGCAUGGGAUCUUCGGACCUUGCGCGAUUGAAUGAGCCGAUGUCGGAUUAGCUAGUUGGCGGGGUAAAGGCCCACCAAGGCGACGAUCCGUAGCUGGUCUGAGAGGAUGAUCAGCCACACUGGAACUGAGACACGGUCCAGACUCCUACGGGAGGCAGCAGUGGGGAAUAUUGGACAAUGGGCGCAAGCCUGAUCCAGCCAUACCGCGUGUGUGUAGAAGGCCUUCGGGUUGUAAAGCCCUUUUGUUGGGAAAGAAAAGCAGCAGGUUAAUACCCCGCUGUUCUGACGUUACCCAAAGAAUAAGCACCGGCUAACUUCGUG